rnacentral:lncRNA from 1 species
AUGGAGAAAGGAAACCCGACAGAAGGAAAGAGGAAGUGGAUACAUGUUUGCUUACAUGUCCACCUUGCGGUCAAGAGCCCAGCAGGACUUCAGACUCAGUGGAGACAGCGCUCCCUCUUCCCCUUAGUAAGAACAGUUUACUUAAAAAGGUGCUCAGCUGGUACAAACCACAAUUCACCAAAAUCAUUGUACUCGUUACCAGUUUUGAGAAGCCCAGUGUCACUAAUUCUUGGAUCGUGUGUACUUUCAGGGAGAUCCUGGUGUGCCAGGUUUCAAAGGAGAAGCAGGCCCCAAAGGCGAACCCGGUCCACAUGGCCCUCAGGGUCCAAUUGGCCCUGUUGGUGAAGAAGGGAAAAGAGGUCCUCGUGGUGACCCUGGAGCGGUUGGCCCUCCUGGACCUGUGGGAGAACGGGUGAGGAGAAUAGCAAACAUCAAGUCUCAGGAAUUUUGUCUUACAUCCUCCUGCGUGUGAAAUUCUUCAUUCAGCUCCAUGGUUGAAACUCAGUUUCUGUAUCUGUAUGACUGUCAUCAAUUCAGGGCAUUAGAAGGGAUCCAGCAAUGGCUGUAUUAGAAUGAUCAGAUUACGUAAGAGCAAAAGAUCAGAGAUCUAACACAAACUCAUAAAUAACUGGAAGCCUUCUGUUGGAAAAGCUGUGAAAAGCAAGACGAUACCUGACCACAACAAAUAGCAACAUAAGGUUCAAUGUAUUUUAGAAACAUUACUAGCAGUUAUUCAAAGCUUAAGAGACUGAUGACCUGUAUUAUUAAGUGGGAAAUUGAUAGAUCAGUGGUUUAGGUCUCUGUCUUAGAUAGAAGUCAGAGAUUGGGAGUUUGAUUCUUCAUGGCGCCUCCUUGACAGGGGCUGGACUCCAUGAUCUCUGGAGGGUCCCUUCCAGCUCUGCAGUUCUAAGGUUAUAAAUUUCUUCUAGAACUAUCACAAUGCAGCUUCACAUUUGCCAAAUCGGAGUUUUCCACUUGGGUGCAGAACUGUACAUCUCUCUGCUAUAAACAUUGCUCAUAUAUGUAACCUAUUUUUUUAAAAUACCAAAAAAUGAAAUGAAAUGAAAAUUGAAAUGUGUGGCUUUGAUUCUGUAGGGACCUCCCGGCAAUCGUGGCUUUCCAGGUUCUGAUGGCUUGCCGGGACCAAAGGUAAGUUGCCGUGAUUCAUGGGGCCUCAUAAAGUUCCUAAAGGCUUGUUAUAAUAGUAUGCAUGCAUGAAAAAGGGAAACUGAAAUGGAAGGCAACGUCAACAGAAAGCAGCACUAAAAUGGUGGUAUUCUGUGAAAUCUGUAGCCUUGUUCCCUUUCUCAGCUAGUCUCCAUUUUAAAUGAUCUCCUGUGGUGUU